UGAGUUUGAUCAUGGCUCAGGAUGAACGCUGGCGGCGUGUUUAACACAUGCAAGUCGAGCGAGAAUCUGGCAGAACAACUCUUCGGAUGAGUUCAGCGAGAGGAAAGCGGCGGACUGGUGAGUAACGCGUAGGCAACCUGCCCUUUGCAGAGGGAUAGCCUCGGGAAACCGGGAUUAAAACCUCAUAAAGCCAUAAUAUGACAUCAUCAUAUGGCCAAAGAUUUAUCGGCAAGGGAUGGGCCUGCGUCUGAUUAGUUAGUUGGUGGGGUAACGGCCUACCAAGGCGACGAUCAGUAGCCGACCUGAGAGGGUGAACGGCCACAUUGGAACUGAGACACGGUCCAAACUCCUACGGGAGGCAGCGGUGGAGAAUCUUGCACAAUGGGCGAAAGCCUGAUGCAGCAACGCCGCGUGAAGGAUGAAGGCCCUUGGGUCGUAAACUUCUGUUCUAAGGGAAGAUAAUGACGGUACCUUAGGAGCAAGUCCCGGCUAACUACGUGCCAGCAGC
rnacentral:rRNA from 1 species